UACAGAGGUCCCAAGCGUUGUUCGGAUUCACUGGGCGUAAAGGGUGCGUAGGCGGUCGGGUAAGUCUGAUGUGAAAUCUCACAGCUUAACUGUGAAACUGCAUUGGAUACUAUCCGGCUCGAGGAAUGGAGGGGAGACUGGAAUACUUGGUGUAGCAGUGAAAUGCGUGGAUAUCAAGUGGACACCAGUGGCGAAGGCGAGUCUCUGGACAUUUUCCUGACGCUGAGGCACGAAAGCCAGGGGGAGCAAACGGG
rnacentral:rRNA from 1 species